GAAAAAUCAUUGUGGCAGCCGUUAGUAAACGUUUAUAACGGCCGUUCGGUAGUGGGAAAUUAAAAGAAAAGAAAUAGAAGCUCGGUUUGCUCUCCAAUCCCGUUCCCGUGCCCAUGGGGCUCUUGGCCGAGACGCCUCUCUUCGUCGACACCAACCUCGGCACUCGCUUCGCCUUAUCCGUCCCUGAUAACAUCACGGCCGGCGAUCUGAAACGUAAACUCAAGUGUGAGCACAACUCUUGUUUCCCAGCCCUCGGAAAAAUUGUUGUCCAUUCUCUCAUGGUAAAACAAAAAUCUUUUCUCUAUCAUAUCCCAGACUCCAUGCCAAUAAAGGAAGCCUGUCAAGGAUUUCGCAGCACUUGGUUUCUUCGAAUGGAUGCUACUAGGUUGACAGACAUAUCCAUGCACCAAGCAUCAAUACCUUCCUCGAUGAACCACUUCAGAAGACGAGAUUCUCCUUAUCUGGAAGAAACUGUCACGCCAAAUUCCUACAAGUUACCAGCUUCAAGCAACUCAAAUUGUUGCACACCUGGGGGCCGAUUCGGAUGCACUGAAGUUGACAUGGAUCACAUAUUAGAAGGGUCCAUUUCCAACAUGAUUGAUUGUAGCAAUGCUUCAAAGGCAGUGGAUUUUACCAUAUCUACAGUUACAGCUACAAAUAUGAUAAAUCAGGCAGGUAAUAUUGUGAGAGAUUGCUCGACAUGGGACGAAAGAGAAGUCGAUGUGCCUUCCUUGCCACUUAUAAGCCAGAAGAGUCUGUCGAAGAGGAGGAAAUUGGAACAUGGCAUUCAAGGGAAUGUUGUUGGAAAAGAAGCUGUAAUCAGCAAUAAAACCAGAAAAUCUGGAGUUAGUUCUAGUUUGGAUUCUGGGAAAGAGGUUCGAAAAGAUAAUACUGCUCCAAAUGCAACUCAAAAGGACAAAGCUUGGGUAUCAGAAGGGCCAUCAGAAAAAGAGCAACACAAGAAUUCUUUAUCAAUGGAAGAAACUCCCAGCAUGAAUUUGUCAGAGAAAAUAUCUGUUACCGGUCUUAUUUCAAGAUACUUCUCUAACCAAGAUGAGGCGAGCACGUGCAGUAAUCUGCACAAAAAUGUGAUGGACACUCAGAGUGUAACCGUGCAACCCACCAGUAUGCUGAAUACCCAAGAAUUUCAUCUAAAUGAAGCAACUGGUUUUGCAAUGAAAGAUGUGCAAAGUUCGGCAGACGAUAAAAGCUCAAAUGAAGGUGAAUCAGACUGUAAUACGGCUUGUUCCUUCAAUAUCAACAAAGAAACAAAGCAAGUUUGUCUCAUGAGCAAUAAUGUCAGAAAAAUUGCCAAGAGCAAACCAACUACUUCUGAAGGCAGGGUACGACCAAGUGCUAUCAUUUCGAGUGCAAAGAAGGAUCCUCGUGUAGCUGAAAGCAGAUGCUACGAGGCAGGCAACACUACAUCAUGCGGAAACAAAUCUCUGAUAUCGAGCAGUCAAGUCAAUAGGAAAUUGGUUCAUGCUAGGCCUCGUCGCACAUCGACUUUUUCUUCUCUUUCAUCACCAAUCAGCAAGCGUAAGAGAAUUUUUAGCAGCAAUGACAACAAAAAUGAAGUCGGGAAGCGACUCGUCCAAGCAGCAAACAAGAUUUAUUCCUCUGUUAGUGCUGAAAAGUUGCCACAAUCCAGUGCUUCACAAUGUGCAUCCUAUAUUUGUUCAUCCAUUGGAUAAAAGGAAAUGUUCAUGCUUGCAUUCAAACUUCAAGUGUCAUUCAUCAUUCACAGUGCAAGUGGCCAUCCUGAGAAAAUACUUCUUCAAGAGCUUACCAAUUUCAAGAUGUCAAGAGGUUAGGUUCUUUUGCAGAAAAUACAGUAAUGAGAAGCUACAAAACAUCAUCUGCUGUUAACCCUCCCGCAAUAGAUACAUCUGUUACAGCAGGAAGGAGGCCCUGAAGAUGACAGUAUGACGCCACGUGUUUCGCGCGUUGUCGAACCGCUGAGGUUGAGUCUUGCUUCGUUCCUUUGACUUCUCUAUUGUUGAUCCACCUGAACCGUCUGAUCUCGAUCCGAAGGAUAAGCUGGUCGAAGAGAAGGCCACGUGAGCUCGUCUGACUAACGGAGUCGAGGUAUUCACUUUGACCGGUCGAUGACCACACGUGUCAUGGAUCUGCUCAAAGAUGGGGCUUCGAGCAACAUGAAGCGUCGAGUGGGGCCCACAUUUUAAUCAACGGCUUCUGAUGGGAGUUGUAAGAUCCUAUUUUAAUCAACGUCGAAUGGGGCCCACACGUGUCAUGGAUUUCUCACCACUCUCACGUGCUUCGCACGCGCACCUCGGAUUCUACCAUCGUCAGCCUGGGCUUGGAUACCUCUAGUUAAGGGGCAGAUGCUUCACCUUCCCCUCGUCUCUCCAUUCCGCUACCGUCGCCCUCGGCCCCGCAGCGGCUCACCCACCGGAGCCCACCGAUCGUCUCGUCUCGCGGUCUUUCCAGCGCUCGGAAUCGUCCCGUGGUCCACUAGUCCAAGAAGACGCCUCAUCCUUUAACUGCCAUCGCAAGAAGUUCCGAAUCAUGACGCGCGCGUCAUGAAGCAAUGGACAGCCCGAUGGUACGCUAGAGAUGCGGAGAGGAGGAGUAGAUCUUAGGGGAAGAGGGAAAGAAAACCCGCUUGCUCUUGUUUCUUUUGUGUUGUUAUUUUUUUGUUCUCUUCUCCUUGCGGAAGCUUUCCAAGAUUAGGGGAUUGCUUCUGGUUUUGAUCGGAUAACCCGAGCCGGGAAUCUGCCUUUGUAGCUUACACACUUCAUGAGCAAUACAUCCUGACUUUCUACUAUUGUUGUUUAUUGUAUUUUGAUCAUCUGAUUAAUUUAUGACUGAAGUUGAUUGCAUGCAUGUCUGCAUUUUGUGAUUCAAAUAUUUGAAGCUUGGUUUGCUGAGAUCCAUGAGGUUUUGACAUCAGUUAGUCAUCUACUGGGUUUCACCGACUUUUAUAAGAAUAAAAAAUCAUUGUGCUAGUUUUAGUGUGAUUACAAGUUCUUUUGUAUCUCUUUGUAAGUGUUCUUUGAUUUAUUUCUGCAUUUCGUAGAACCUUUGUGUUUUUUUUUUUUUUUUUUAAUAUGGCUCCGAUAUAUACCUACAGAAUCAUUUAUUACUGCAUGUAUUGAUUGUAUUGGGGACUGGUAGCUUGGUCUGUGUGUGUGUGUGCGUGUGUGUGUGUGACACUAAUUCAAGGACCAUAUCAUGAGGACUUAGCUAGGACUUGUGUAUAGCUAGGGUGGUUCGCAUGUUCUAGUUAUUGGAAGGGUUGCCUCGAUUCGGAAAAUAGCUUAGUCUAUAUGUGUGUGUGUGUGUGUGACACUAAUUCAAGGACCAUAUCAUGAGGACUUAGCUAGGACUUGUGUAUGGCUAGGGUGGUUCGCAUGUUUAGUUAUUGGAAGGGUUGCCUCGAUUCGGAAAAAGUGAUGUGAAUAGCAUAUUUAUAGCAUUUGUUGUCUUGACUACAUUAUGUACUUUGAAAUAACAUGCGCAUGUUGUACUAUGAGUCAUGUGAGGCACAUGGUCGCUUCGUGCUAUUGGUCCUUCCUACCAACCCCCGACCAAGUGAUCGAGUGAGAUCACCAAGUUGCAUGGGCAAUCUAGUAGGGAUGCAUAUCCAAACCGGGGAUGUAGGGACAUCUUUAUGAGUAAUAGUUAAAAAAUUACUAAAUGUGCAUUAUGAUUAAUGCACAUUAUGAUUAAUGCACACUGAAGAGACAGGUAAGUGUGAGUAGUGUCCAUGUCACGAGCAGAUGUAGUUAGUGGUCGUCGUAAAACAGAUGGUGGAAGAGGAGAUAGGCAGAUCUAGUCAGUUCACGAUGCAUCUAUGUUUUCAUCUAUUUUUCCAUGAUGUGAGUAAUGGCAAUAAAGGAGUCUUCGAUUCUACAUAUUUUUCUAUUUAGUCGCAUACUCUUUUCAGGCACUGAGUUGAAAACGUAGGGUUGAAACAGGCAACUGCUUCUUCCUUUUGCAGCACCUGGAUGAGGUUUUCUCCAUCAAGAAGUAGGAAUUUGUUCCUCUUAACUUUGUUUCUCGUUAAAUUAAAAUUCAUUUAUGUUGUGUA